AUGCCUAGCAUCAUAGGGAAAAACAGCUGGAGCAAUUGAAGUUAGGGUUAAGGAUCUCAAGGGCUUGGACUUCUCAGAGAUGAAGAUCUGGAUCACUCCAUCAGGCAAGCAACGAAGACCAGAUGAAAUGCUGCUUGAAGGGCUGGCAUAUCUAGAAUUGGUGGUAGAAAUAACAAAUAAAGAAACUGGAGCAGAAAAUCAGUCACAUUAAAUUUACCACCAUUCAAAAAGCCAAGGCACUGAAAAUGCUUGGAUAUCAUACAGAUAGUUUCAUUAUCUUCUUUUUAGAGGCACUCUGAAUGUGAAUUGCAUCUGAGUCAGUCUAUCCUUCCAGGAAUUGAAUUAGUUUUCCUCACACUCUCAGAGGAGGCAAUGCAUAACACAAGUUACAUGUCAGGAGCAUUCCCCAGAGAUGAUGAUUUUGAUUCAACAUCCUACUGUUUCAAAAAUAUAGCAAUAUAAUUUUAAUAUGCUAUUGGGCAUAUAUUCUGGUGGCAGUUUACCACUUCGAAAGGGAUCAGAUUAAAAUGUCUUUAUUAGAGGUCAAAA
rnacentral:lncRNA from 1 species